CUACUUCACGUUGAAACACCGGUUCCUGUACUAUCACCGAAGUUAAGCAACGUCGGCCCUGGUCAGUAACUAGGUGGGUGACUAUUUGGGAAUACCAGGUACUGUAC